GGAGAGACCUGGAAGAACAGCCCAGAACCCAGGGCUGCUUCCUCACCCCCACUGAGCUCCCAGGGCACGCAGCCUCACCAGGAAGGCUCCCAACACUCCUCUCAGGGUGAGGGGUCCAGGCCCCACCCCAUCUGCUUUGGCCCUGACUGUCUGAGCCCAUGACUCCCUCUGUCCUCUGUGGCCUUCCAUCUUCCUGUGUGAUACCCCAUCUCCUGCACUGGGGCUGGGGUGCCUGGAGUAAGCACAAGAGAAAUGCAGGCUGCUGAUCUCAAGACCCAAGCGGGGAGGGCAGAGCAAGCCAGGACCAAGACCAGGCUCUGCCCACAGAGCCGCACUCUUGAACCACCUCCUGCCAGUGGACAUCGCAGGGUAGGCUUCACCCCCUGCUCGGGCGCUGGACCACAGCCGGCCCCUCAUGAAGUCCUCGGAGCCCGCGGUGGGCCCCCACCUGGCCCUCGGUGCCCGGACGGGACCGAGAGGCUCUUGGAGAAGGUGCUCUCUUCAACCCCCAGAGCUCCAUCCUGGAUGUCUUGGAACUGACCUGUCCCGAGCUGGAUGGCCAAGAUGCGAUGGUGGCCAUGCUGGGCUCCAGCCCAUGCUGGUCUCCAGACAUGGCUGCACGCCGGUCUCCAUCACCGGUCCAUCCUUGACCAUCUCGUCAAGACUCGGGGACCCACAGUGGCUGUUCCCUCACCGGCCGGCUGGGAAAAGGCCCACGGUGCAGGGCACAUAGCAGGGCAGCCGCGGAUUGGUCACUGCCUGAAUGUCCCCGGACGGAUGCCCGUGUGCCCUUGGGCAGCCUUCCCCUCGGACAGGCUGUCCAGGCCGGGGAAACCCUAAGCCAAGGGAUUAAGAAGAAAGGACAGAAUCGACUGUUCCCUUGGCUGUGCUAAUUUGUGCCUCAUUUAGUGUAUAUUUGCUCAGUGGGUCAGAACACGGAGGUGAUGACGCCAAA